AGUGGCGCACGGGUGAGUAACGCGUGGGAACCUGCCCUGUGGUACGGAAUAACUCCGGGAAACUGGAGCUAAUACCGUAUGCGUCCUGCGGGACAAAGAUUUAUCGCCAUGGGAUGGGCCCGCGUAGGAUUAGCUUGUUGGUGAGGUAACGGCCCACCAAGGCUACGAUCCUUAGCUGGUCUGAGAGGAUGAUCAGCCACAUUGGGACUGAGACACGGCCCAAACUCCUACGGGAGGCAGCAGUGGGGAAUAUUGGACAAUGGGCGCAAGCCUGAUCCAGCCAUGCCGCGUGAGUGAUGAAGGCCCUAGGGUUGUAAAGCUCUUUUGUACGGGAAGAUAAUGACGGUACCGUAAGAAUAAGCCCCGGCUAACUUCGUGCCAGCAGCCGCGGUAAUACGAAGGGGGCUAGCGUUGCUCGGAAUCACUGGGCGUAAAGGGUGCGUAGGCGGGUUUUUAAGUCAGAGGUGAAAUCCUGGAGCUCAACUCCAGAACUGCCUUUGAUACUGAAAGUCUUGAGUAUGGGAGAGGUGAGUGGAACUGCGAGUGUAGAGGUGAAAUUCGUAGAUAUUCGCAAGAACACCAGUGGCGAAGGCGGCUCACUGGUCCGGUACUGACGCUGAGGUGCGAAAGCGUGGGGAGCAAACAGGAUUAGAUACCCUGGUAGUCCAUGCCGUAAA
rnacentral:rRNA from 1 species